CUGCUGUGAUGACUUCUUAGGACACCUUUGGAUUAAUGAUGAAAAGAAUCGAACGAAUUCUGAGCAGC